rnacentral:misc_RNA from 1 species
UCUCCGUUUCACAGAGCAGUCUGUCUCGAGUGCUUCCGACUCUCGUCGGAGUGGCAACAAGACACAGGGGUUGCGCUCGUUACCGGACUUAACCGAACACCUCACGGCACGAGCUGACGACAGCCAUGCAGCACCUGUGUACGCUGGUAUUGCUACCUCGUCUCCCUUUCAGGAUUCUACUACGCACAUGUCAAGGCCAGGUAAGGUUCUUCGCGUUGCAUCGAAUUAAGCCACAUGCUCCACCGCUUGUGCGGGCCCCCGUCAAUUUCUUUGAGUUUUAAUCUUGCGACCGUACUCCCCAGGCGGUGUAUUUAACGCGUUAGCUCCGAGACAAGAGGGGUCGAAUCCGCUUAUCUCAAAUACACACCGUUUACGGCCAGGACUA